CAUUAUUUCACUUGGCCUGUAUGUGUGCCAUCAGUAUUUGGAGCUCGUGAGAUGUAUUAUCCCAUUUAACAGGUACAACAAUCCUAGGAGUCUGGGUUCUCCGCACAUGUCCCUUGCCACCUUCUGGCUCUUUGAGAACCUCAUCUUCACCUCCGUGUCCAGACCCCUGGGCUGCCUGGAGCUUUGAGGCCUCCAUGGAUCCACUCCAGAAACACAGCUCAACGUUGAUUUCUGCAUCUUCCCCGAUGAUCUCUGGAGAAGAGACAUCUCGCGAAGUCACAGCAGCCUCUCAUCCUUCCUUCUCAAAACAGCUAAUGAUGGGCCUCAGUGUCUGGAACCCGAGUCCUGGCUCCACCUACCCUGCCUCUCUAGCAGAGAGACUGCUCCAGCAGCGGUACAGCGAUGAGAAAACCUGGUGAGAGAGGCAGUGGGAAAGAUACAUGGAAAAAGAAAAAGAAAACACAAUCUCAUCCCACGUGACAGAGCUCUGGAUGGAUUCAACACAGAUGCUGGUGCUGAAGGGCCUGGGUGUGGAUUCCUAUUGGGGAUCAAACAGUUGCCCCGGAGCUGUGCAGCCGCAAACAUAUAGGAGUCUUCUGCAGACAGAGGGGCUUGAGAACAGGUACAUUUACUAGACUCUGAACUUGUGAUCUCAUCAGAGAGCGUGGAAGCCCCAUGGACCCUGCCAGGCUCGUCUCGCAGCCACAGGGAAGGAGACCCAUCAUUGAGCAAGAUUUCCAUCCCGGUUUAUGAGGUGGCGGGACAGCAGACUACAGAGCAGGCAGGGCCUGGGCGCAGCUGGCAGAAGUGAGAAAGUGCUGGCCUCACUCCAGCAGCCACACCAGGCUUCCUUUUCUGGCUCUGGAAACCGUUUUCUGAAGCCCAGCUCCAGGACUCAGGGUUUGAAGUGAAGGCCUGUGUCCUUAAAGGAGGAGCCUGGCAUCGCCUGUGGAGACAAGGACAGCCUUGAGGGACCCUGCUCACCUCAGUGACAACCCUCAUCAGCUCCUGCACCCCCUGAGCAGCCCAGGCGGCUCCGGUGGACCAGGUGCUCCUUCAGUGUCUUGGUGAACGGUUUCCUUCUGCGAACAAAAUCAAUUUGCUCUUCAAAUGGACUCCCUUCUCAAAUCCUCACUAGGUUGCUAAGCAGCUUAUAUUUAUGCUGCUCCGAAGAAGGACCCUGCCUGCACCAUAUACGCUUCACAGAACUUUGAUUCUGCAAUGCAUCCUAAGAGAGAGUGGAAUGGAAACAGGAGUGAGGAACACACACACAGACAAAGACACAGAGACAUCUACUAGUCGCCUGCAGCAAGUCCCAACCUGAGCCGUGAUGGAACCUACAACCCACUGAGAAGACAGGAGCAAUGAGGGGUGACUUCUCAGAGCUCCCCAAACCCAAUCCACCUGGUUUUGCCCUGACAUCUCUGCUGCUCCUGGGCGUAUCUGCUCCUGACUGCAGCCAGCCCCGCCUGUGCUCAGGGUCCCCUGUGUCCCCACCUGCUCGGGGACUUUGCUCCUGCACUUAUCAUCACUCCUCUGUCCUGAACUGUCACUGAGGAGGAACAGAGAGGCUUCCUUUACUGUCUCUGGAAACACUUAUCUGAAGCUUCAAGUCCUGCUUGAAGCGAAGGCCUGUGUCCUUAAAGGAGGAGCCUGGCAUCGCCUGUGGAGACAAGGACAGCCCUGAGGGACCCUGCUCACCUCAGCGACAACCCUCAUCAGCUCCUGCACCCCUGGGAAGACAGGAGCAAUGAGGGGUGACUUCUCAGAGCUCCCCAAACCCAAUCCACCUGGUUUUGCCCUGACAUCUCUGCUGCUCCUGGGCGUAUCUGCUCCUGACUGCAGCCAGCCCCGCCUGUGCUCAGGGUCCCAUGGGUCCCCACCUGCUCG